rnacentral:tRNA from 1 species
GGAAACGAAUGUAUUCCUGGUGGAUACCACGGCCUUCAAAGCCGCUGUCCCGAUGAAAGUUGGGAGGUGGGUUCGAUUCCCACACGUUUCCGCAA